rnacentral:rRNA from 1 species
AACGUGAGCAACCUGCCUAGGUGUGGGGGAGUAGCCGGCCCAACGGCCGGGUAAUACCGCAUACGCUCAACACGAGGCAUUUCGAGUUGAGGAAACCUUCGGGGCACUAUGAGGGGCUCGCGGCCUAUCAGCUAGUUGGCGAGGUAAUGGCUCACCAAGGCUACGACGGGUAGCUGGUCUGAGAGGAUGGCCAGCCACAUUGGGACUGAGAAACGGCCCAG